CACAGAUAGUAACUCUUGGGCUAGUUGGAACAGCACAGAAAAUCAAGUAAAUUUGUCUGAACUUCCUGAUUCUAGAAGAGAUGGGAAAAAGGUUUUUCAUAAGAAGAUAGCCUUUAUCUUUUGGAGAUAAAGCUAAUAAAUACCAUAUGUUAAUUGAACAAGAUUAUUUAGAAUGUUGGCUUCAUUUUUUAGAUACUGAUAGAGUACUUGUGCUUCAUUUCUUCAUUCCAAAACAAUUGUCAGUAUGAAUUUCCUGAGGAAUAUGCUACAGUCAUUUUGGAAGAAAUUCUGUUAGCAGUACAGUGUUGAUAACUGCAACUGUAACAAGGACAGAAAUUAUUUGUCUGGACUGAUGGGUACAGCCAUGAGGAGUUUCCGUGUCUUGGAAAGCACGAUUGCACAUAAACUGCAGCAUCACGUGCAUAAAACAGGAUUGCCAAAGCUACAAUAGAUGGGGCCUGGAUGUGUUGCUUAGGCUGUGUGAAACACCUGGUCUUAAGCGAUCCUCUCACCCUGGCCUCCCAAAGCAUUGGGAUUACAGGGAGAAAAGAAUGGGAACUGUGAGGAAAAGAAUGACAUGAACAAUGGGAAGACCAAGGUCCCAGCACAAGUAGUAGAUGCUGAGGAAAGAAGAAGUAUGUUGUGGAGUAAGUGAGUGGGCCUGAGUUGAGAAGAUCCUGGCCUUGGAUUUUAAAACUGUCAGUGGAAGAUCAUUGUACAGGGACUCUUGCUGGUGCUAUCUCUGUCCCGG
rnacentral:lncRNA from 1 species